AUAAUAUUCGUACCGUCGGUCUACCCAGCAACUUCACCCGCUCUGUGGAAGACCUACUUACUCUUUGUCGU
rnacentral:pre_miRNA from 1 species